rnacentral:lncRNA from 1 species
UGUGUUGUUAUCAGUGCCCUGCUUUUAACACCUGUGUGUGUGUGUGUUAUCACUGCCCUGCUUUUAAACACUGUGUGUGUGUGUGUUAUCAGCUGCCCUGCUUUUAACACCUGUGUGUGUGUGUGGUUAUCAGCUGCCCUGCUUUUAACACCUGUGUGUGUGUGUUAUCAGCGCCUGCUUUUAACACCGUGUGUGUGUGUGUGUUAUCAGCUGCCCUGCUUUUAACACCUGUGUGUGUGUGUUUAUCAGCUGCCCUGCUUUUAACACCUGUGUGUGUGUAUGUUAUCAGCUGCCCUGCUUUUACACCUGUGUGUGUGUGUGUGUGUGUUAUCAGCUGCCCUGCUUUUAACACCUGUGUGUGUGUGUGUGUGUUAUCAGCUGCCCUGCUUUUAACACCUGUGUGUGUGUAUGUUAUAGCUGCCUGCUUUUAACACCUGUGUGUGUGGUGUGUGUGUGUGUGUGUGUGUUAUCAGCUGCCUGCUUUUAACACCUGUGUGUGUGUGUUAUCCGCUGCCCUGCUUUUAACACCUGUGUGUGUGUU